UGACCUCUCGUGGUCUCGCCCCAUCCUACUCCUACCGCGUCGUUCGCCGUCCCGCCGUUCCUCCCGCAAUCGUUAGCCGCCGGAGCCGCCGCCCAUCGCGCCCUUCGCCGCGGAAGAGCCGGAGCCGCCGCCCCAUCGCGCGCCGCGGGAGCCACCGCAGGUCGCGGCCCUUCGCCGCGGGAGAGCCGGAGCUGCUGCCCGUCGCGCGUCGCGGGAGCCGCCGCAGGUCACGGCCCUUCGCCGCGGGAUAGCCGGAGCCGCUGCCCAUCGCGCGCCGCGGGAGCCGCCGCCCAUCACGCCCUUCGCCGCGGGAGCCAGAGCCACCCGUUGCGCCCUUCAUCGUAGGUCGCCGACACGCCCUUUGCCUUUUGUUGGACACAUCCCCAUUAGAACAUAUCAUUGUUUUGUUAGUGCCUCUGACUGUUGUGCCAUGGCGAUUUGUGAAUAAUGAAAAAAAGUUCAGAAUAACUCAAGUUGGCAUGUGCGAGUGCCUGCGAUACUCAGGUUGCAGUUUAGUCUCUUCGGACUCCAGAUUGCCUCACUUGUGGUUUUCUAAACUCUACCUCAGAGUGUUACAUCUCAUUUUUCGGCUCACUUCUUUUUUGUUUGGGGAAUAGGAUAUGUUGGUAUUGUUUCUGUUCUUCAGUCACAGUUGGUGGUCCAUGCCCGGGGGAGGGGGUGGUUGAUCUUUGAGUUCAGCUGUACACACUUGAUUCCUACACAUAUUAAGAUCAGAGAUAAUGUGCCAUGGGGUGAUCUUUGAGUUCGGCUGCAGGCAGUCAAUUUCUUAACAUAUUCAGAUCAGAGAUAAUGUGCCAUGGUGACUUGUGUAUAAUUGAAAUUCAGAAUGAACUUAAUCUACCAUGUGAGUGCCUGCGAUACACUCAGGUUGCAGUUUCUCAAAUAUUGAAUGUUUAGUCCCUUGAGACUCCACAUUGGCACAACUUGCUGUUUUCUGAACUCUACUUCACAAUGUUAUACCCGAUGUCUCGGCUCGCAAUUUUUGGUGUUGCUUCUAUUCUUUGGUGACAGUUAGCUAUUUGAAUGAUUUAGCAAAGGAUAGCUACAUAGUAUGGCAAAGUACGUUUGGUGUCCCGCUGAAGCUGAAAGCAUACAGAGCACCUGUAAUUAGUUUUUAGUCGACGAAUUUCAGCUAGAUCAUAGUGUUGCGGCUCUGAACUAUGGUGAUUGUGGACAACCGCUGCUACAGAUCCUCACGCUCGCCUCCACCAGGCACAUGGUCUCCAAUCGUCAAGACGCCCGACCCUCCUCGGCUGCUACUGCUGCAGCCGGCACCACUUUCCUUAUCUCGACCCGGUCCCUGCGAGGAACCCAUCUACGUGCCGACCAGUCCAAGGAACUCACAUCACCUCCAUCAAGCAGGAAAACAAUGACCUAUGUGAUUAGAAGUAUGUGCUUGCUUCUUCAUGAAGAGCCAAAAAAGAAGUAUAGACGUUGAUGCAACUGUAUAGAGCAUGGUCACCAACAGAUCCACACAUUUGGUCAGUGAUGAACUAAUGCAACCUAUUAGUACAUGAGUGGGAGGGGAGGAUAUUCGAUCUGAGUAUGUCAGAUAGGAGGAGCAAGACGGAAUUAAUAAGGCAAGAAUUAUUUUCCUUUUAGUUUGGCUCUCUGUUGCUUCAUGAUGAUAUUAUCUAACUGAUGAACAUGGAACAUUGUACGGGACUGAUGAAAGAGUUCUUUCGCUUCACCAGGCAUGAAACUUUUGACCCAUCCCUGCAAUGUAUUUUCAUAGUGCCCUUGUAUAAGUAAAUGGAGGGAGUAUUACUAAAACCAAGUAUCAAUCUGAGACUGGUUGUUUUUUUAUUGUGGUCUGACAAGACUUAAAUAUUCUGCAUUAGUUUUUUAUAUCUGCAGAGUGUGCACAUGACUUUCUUCCCUGCCUUUACUUAUUAAUGAAAAAUAAACAACAAUGCAUGAUAUCUUUACUAAAUUAAUAACACUAAGUAGGAAUUCAGAACAAUAACGCAUUAAUAACAACGGGUAGGAAUUCUGAAUAAAAAUAUUACAUGAGAAAUAUGGCAUGCACCUUAACAUAGAAAUGUCCUUUUCAAUUGCUUAGAUGUUAAUGUUGCAAAUGUUCUUUUCCUGUUCUCUUAAUAAUGGUUUUAGAUGGAGAGCUGCGCCCAUGUUGUAUGCCAACAUUGGUCCUUAGAUUAGUCAAUUUUUGUCGCAGCAUAUGUUCUCUAUAGAUUUUUUUAAAGGUCUAUGGAAUUUCAUCUGCAAGCUUUUGAUCCUAAUGGCUACAUCCUUAUAAAGCUAUUUCUUGUUUGUAAGAUGAAUAUUGUCUAUGUCAAGACUCAAGACUCAAGAGAAGCAAGAGUGCAUAGGAGUGGCAGUUGUUCAACCAAGGAUGGUCAGAGGGUAUUACAAGGAGCGAGAGAGAUACAUGGAAGGAGAGAUUACGUAGCAAGGCACAGGGCACACAGGACGCAAAGUGUCACAUAUGGGCUACCGGGCGAAAACAGUCGACCCAAGCAAGGCCCUCGUGGCAGUGGUCAGCACGUUUAGAUCAUAAAUCAUAUGUGUUCUUAUUUUAUGGCUAAUUAGCUAAACACAGUUGCUACAUAGUGGUUCCACUUGCUGACAACGGUGAGGUGCAACAGAGAUUGCCCUAAGAUACACAAAUAUAUUGUUGAAUAUAUCAAAGUUGUCUCGAGCUAA